rfam:Felis catus isolate Cinnamon breed Abyssinian chromosome A3, whole genome shotgun sequence.
GCCUGGAUGGCUUAGUAGGUAGAGCGUGAGACUCUUGAUCUUAGGGUUGUGAGUUCAAGACCCACAUUAGGCA